AUUGAACGCUGGCGGCAGGCCUAACACAUGCAAGUCGAGCGGUAGCACAGAGAGCUUGCUCUCGGGUGACGAGCGGCGGACGGGUGAGUAAUGUCUGGGAAACUGCCUGAUGGAGGGGGAUAACUACUGGAAACGGUAGCUAAUACCGCAUAACGUCGCAAGACCAAAGUGGGGGACCUUCGGGCCUCAUGCCAUCAGAUGUGCCCAGAUGGGAUUAGCUAGUAGGUGGGGUAACGGCUCACCUAGGCGACGAUCCCUAGCUGGUCUGAGAGGAUGACCAGCCACACUGGAACUGAGACACGGUCCAGACUCCUACGGGAGGCAGCAGUGGGGAAUAUUGCACAAUGGGCGCAAGCCUGAUGCAGCCAUGCCGCGUGUGUGAAGAAGGCCUUCGGGUUGUAAAGCACUUUCAGCGGGGAGGAAGGCGGUGAGGUUAAUAACCUCAUCGAUUGACGUUACCCGCAGAAGAAGCACCGGCUAACUCCGUGCCAGCAGCCGCGGUAAUACGGAGGGUGCAAGCGUUAAUCGGAAUUACUGGGCGUAAAGCGCACGCAGGCGGUCUGUCAAGUCGGAUGUGAAAUCCCCGGGCUCAACCUGGGAACUGCAUUCGAAACUGGCAGGCUAGAGUCUUGUAGAGGGGGGUAGAAUUCCAGGUGUAGCGGUGAAAUGCGUAGAGAUCUGGAGGAAUACCGGUGGCGAAGGCGGCCCCCUGGACAAAGACUGACGCUCAGGUGCGAAAGCGUGGGGAGCAAACAGGAUUAGAUACCCUGGUAGUCCACGCCGUAAACGAUGUCGAUUUGGAGGUUGUGCCCUUGAGGCGUGGCUUCCGGAGCUAACGCGUUAAAUCGACCGCCUGGGGAGUACGGCCGCAAGGUUAAAACUCAAAUGAAUUGACGGGGGCCCGCACAAGCGGUGGAGCAUGUGGUUUAAUUCGAUGCAACGCGAAGAACCUUACCUGGUCUUGACAUCCACAGAACUUUCCAGAGAUGGAUUGGUGCCUUCGGGAACUGUGAGACAGGUGCUGCAUGGCUGUCGUCAGCUCGUGUUGUGAAAUGUUGGGUUAAGUCCCGCAACGAGCGCAACCCUUAUCCUUUGUUGCCAGCGGUUAGGCCGGGAACUCAAAGGAGACUGCCAGUGAUAAACUGGAGGAAGGUGGGGAUGACGUCAAGUCAUCAUGGCCCUUACGACCAGGGCUACACACGUGCUACAAUGGCAUAUACAAAGAGAAGCGACCUCGCGAGAGCAAGCGGACCUCAUAAAGUAUGUCGUAGUCCGGAUUGGAGUCUGCAACUCGACUCCAUGAAGUCGGAAUCGCUAGUAAUCGUAGAUCAGAAUGCUACGGUGAAUACGUUCCCGGGGCCU
rnacentral:rRNA from 1 species